rnacentral:rRNA from 1 species
GGUUUCCGUAGGUGAACCUGCGGAAGGAUCAUUAACGAUUGCCAAAAAGCAAAAAGACUCUUAAAAACACACAGCAGUGCUCGAGCCACACUCGUGUGUGCUUUAGAGUGAUAAAUGCUGUGUGUGUUUGGACAUGAAAGACGCGAUACUCCUGACGAGAUCAGGAAGGAUAAUGCCUUGUUCGUACAAGAAAGGGCCAUCUUGGUCGUGGUGUGUGUGCAAAGGAGUUAGCUCUCUUCUCCCCCACGAACGAUGUAAAACAAACAACCCUGUGGCCUCUCAUAUAUUUGAAUAUCUCUCGCCAUGGCAUACAGGCCUGGCAUCUGGUACGGGACUCUCGCAGUCUCAAAACCAACCUUACAACUCUGAGCGGUGGAUCACUUGGCUUGUGGAUGCUAUGAAGACCAUAGCUAAGUGUGAGAAUGGCAGCGAGCCGUCGCUAUAUGCGCUGUCCUCUUCUUAUCACAUGUCGAAUGCACAUUGCGCCCCACCCAGCGGUCGGCUAAACAACCUGCAGACAAAAGCCUGUGCGUUGGAACAAAGGCAAAUGUGUGGCCUCCGAGCAACGGCGGGGGAGCCAGGAGCACAGGCGCGUGCGUUCCAGCCACUCGUAAGUAGUCAGGCUGAACCCUAUGGUGGGGCACUCCUAGUCGAGUGUGGUGGAUCGGACUCAUCUCUUCCCUCACGAGCACACACAGCAUUCGUGCGUGUCAGAGUGGUUAGAGCUUGAGUUUCUUUGUUGCUUGGUGGCAUUUGGGUCGACAUCAGUCGCGCCCGUAAACAACUGCCUUGGCUCGAACCUCUGUGCGUAUCCUCCCGUAGAUGCGUACAUCGAAAGGUCAUAGCUGGCGAUCACUCUUGCGACCAGGGCACCAUUGGUGGUGCGCAGCGGUCCAAAAGGAAUUAUACGCGAGUGUCUCGAAUCUCAAAUACUCUCUGUGGGGUCAUUGUGUGUCGAAUGGCUCUCUACUGCACAAAAAUACGUCUUUCUGGUGAAGGUUCGUCUCUCUCGUUGUAUUCGGGAACGACGCCUUAACAUUUUCACACGCUCGAAACUCCUGACGAGUUCAGGGUGGCUUGGCUUGGUUUGUGUCUGGGGCGAGUCCGGCAGUGCGAUCAAUGUGCUGCGACUUGCCGCGGGGGACUAAAACUCCUGACGAGUUCAGGAAGGAUAUGCGUACAUGACAGUGUGAAAAGAAAACCGGAAAGACUAGCAGUGUCGUCACAAAGUCGCUGGCAUAUAUAUAAAAAUGGAGAGAGUAAAAGAGAUGUGUACGAGCAGACUCGUUUUUUGCUGUUUGCCACCACCUCGACUUAGGAGAGGUUACCCGCUGAACUUAAGCAUAUCAGUAAGCGGAGGAAAAGAAACCAAUCAGGGAUUCCCUUAGUAGGGGCGACCGAACAGGGAUGAGCCCAGCGCAGAACCUCCCGGGCCACCCGGCCUGCGGCGGAAUGUUGCGUUAAGGGAAAGGUCGUAGUCAAACCCCACAGCCACGCGAGCUCUAAGUAAGCCACGAAUCGGCUGACCCAACUAACGGCGGGACUGUCUCCACGGAGGGUGUAAGACCCGUGUGGGCGCGUGCAAAUGCUGUGUGGGCUCGGCCUCUUUUCCCUGAGAGUCGCGUUGCUUGAGCAUGCAGCGCUAAGCAGGUCGUAAACUCGAUCUAAGGCUAAAUAUGUCCACAAGACCGAUAGCGAACAAGUACCGUGAGGGAAAGUUGAAAAGCACUCUGAAGAGAGAGUCAAAAGACC